rnacentral:rRNA from 1 species
UUCCAGCUCCAAUAGCGUAUAUUAAAGUUGUUGCGGUUAAAAAGCUCGUAGUUGGAUUUCUGUUUGGAAUCGCCGGUCCACGUUUUGCGUGAGUAUCUGGUCGAGUCUAAGCAUCCUCACGAAAGAUAGUUUCGCGCUUAGGUGCGUGAUCUAGAGUUCGUGACUUUUACUUUGAGGAAAUUAGAGUGUUCAUGGCAGGCAUACGCCUUGAAUAUAUUAGCAUGGAAUAAUAAUAUAGGAUUUUGAUUCUAUUUUGUUGGUUUCUAGAGUCAAAAUAAUGAUUAAUAGGGACAAUUGGGGUGAUUUGUACUAAUGCGUCAGAGGUGAAAUUCUUGGAUUGCAUUAUGACAAACUACUGCGAAAGCAUUUCACAAGGAUGUUUUCAUCG